AAGCCCCGGCACCCUUUAGGGUGCGGCCUCAAAUUUGCACUUUGUGGCGCUUUCGCCCAGGGCU
rnacentral:tRNA from 1 species